rnacentral:rRNA from 1 species
UACGUAGGGUGCGAGCGUUAAUCGGAAUUACUGGGCGUAAAGCGAGCGCAGACGGUUAUUUAAGUCAGAUGUGAAAUCCCCGAGCUCAACUUGGGAACUGCGUUUGAAACUGGAUAGCUAGAGUAUGUCAGAGGGGGGUAGAAUUCCACGUGUAGCAGUGAAAUGCGUAGAGAUGUGGAGGAAUACCGAUGGCGAAGGCAGCCCCCUGGGAUGAUACUGACGUUCAUGCUCGAAAGCGUGGGUAGCAAAC